rnacentral:rRNA from 1 species
UGCCAGCAGCCGCGGUAAUACGGAGGGUGCGAGCGUUAAUCGGAAUCACUGGGCGUAAAGCGUGCGUAGGCGGCGCAGCAAGUCAGACGUGAAAGCCCUCGGCUCAACCGAGGAAUUGCGUUUGAAACUGCUGUGCUUGAGUCUCGGAGAGGUUGGCGGAAUUCCAGGUGUAGGAGUGAAAUCCGUAGAUAUCUGGAGGAACACCGGUGGCGAAGGCGGCCAACUGGAUCAUUACUGACACUCAGAGGCGAAAGCUAGGGUAGCAAAAGGGAUUAGAUA